rnacentral:rRNA from 1 species
CACGUAGGGCGCAAGCGUUGUCCGGAAUUAUUGGGCGUAAAGAGCUCGUAGGCGGUCUGUUGCGUCCGCUGUGAAAACUCGGGGCUUAACCCCGAGCCUGCAGUGGAUACGGGCAGACUAGAGGUAGGUAGGGGAGAAUGGAAUUCCCGGUGUAGCGGUGAAAUGCGCAGAUAUCAGGAGGAACACCGGUGGCGAAGGCGGGUCUCUGGACAGUUCCGUGACACUGAGGCACGAAGGCCAGGGGAGCAAACGGG